rnacentral:rRNA from 1 species
GGAUUAGAUACCCUGGUAGUCCACGCCGUAAACGAUGUGCACUAGAUCGAGGGGGUUCUGACACCGCUCUCGGUCGAAGCGAAAGUGUUUAGUGCACCGCCUGGGGAGUACGGUCGCAAGGCUAAAACUCAAAGGAAUUGACGGGGGCUCACACAAGCGGUGGAGCAUGUGGCUUAAUUCGAAGCAACGCGAAGAACCUUAUCCUGGGUUUGACAUGCAUGGAUUAGCUCUGUGAAAGCAGAGUAACGCGGCUUGCCGUGGAACAUGCACAGGUGCUGCAUGGCUGUCGUCAGCUCGUGCUG